UGCAGUCGAGCGGGGAAGGUAGCUUGCUACCUGACCUAGCGGCGGACGGGUGAGUAAUGCUUAGGAAUCUGCCUAUUAGUGGGGGACAACAUUCCGAAAGGAAUGCUAAUACCGCAUACGCCCUACGGGGGAAAGCAGGGGAUCUUCGGACCUUGCGCUAAUAGAUGAGCCUAAGUCAGAUUAGCUAGUUGGUGGGGUAAAGGCCUACCAAGGCGACGAUCUGUAGCGGGUCUGAGAGGAUGAUCCGCCACACUGGGACUGAGACACGGCCCAGACUCCUACGGGAGGCAGCAGUGGGGAAUAUUGGACAAUGGGCGAAAGCCUGAUCCAGCCAUGCCGCGUGUGUGAAGAAGGCCUUUUGGUUGUAAAGCACUUUAAGCGAGGAGGAGGCUACUUGGAUUAAUACUCUAGGAUAGUGGACGUUACUCGCAGAAUAAGCACCGGCUAACUCUGUGCCAGCAGCCGCGGUAAUACAGAGGGUGCGAGCGUUAAUCGGAUUUACUGGGCGUAAAGCGUGCGUAGGCGGCUUCUUAAGUCGGAUGUGAAAUCCCUGAGCUUAACUUAGGAAUUGCAUUCGAUACUGGGAAGCUAGAGUAUGGGAGAGGAUGGUAGAAUUCCAGGUGUAGCGGUGAAAUGCGUAGAGAUCUGGAGGAAUACCGAUGGCGAAGCAGCCAUCUGGCCUAAUACUGACGCUGAGGU
rnacentral:rRNA from 1 species